rnacentral:ncRNA from 1 species
AUGUUUAAUAGGCAAAGCAGAAGUGAUUCUGUGACGCAAAGCUAUAGGACCUUGGUUUUUCAUAGGGGUGAGAGCUUAUAUAAACCAAGGUAGCCAGUUGCAACC